rnacentral:rRNA from 1 species
GGGUCAGUAGGUUGGUAGUGCCACCGGUCCGUACUGGUCUCACUGAUUCCUCCUUCCUGAAGAACCGUAAUGCCAUUAAUUUUGUGUUGCGGGGAAACAGGACUGUUACUUUGAAAAAAUUAGAGUGUUUAAAGCAAGCUAACGCUUGAAUACAUUAGCAUGGAAUAAUGAAAUAGGACGAUCGAUCCUAUUUUGUUUGUUUCUAGGAUUGACGUA